CGCUCUCGCCGUCCGUCGCCUCGUCCCAGUCUUCUCUCUGCUCGACGAGGGUCUUCAUCGUCGACAACCCUGUAAAGUUGGACAACGUCAAACAGGAUUUGAAGAAGGGCAAAGAGGGAAAAUCGUCAACUGACUGACCCAAGGAGGACUCUGCGCGUGGCUAAUGUGCCACGACCUGGCCGGACACGACUAGUGCCACGACCUUCUCAACGCGGCUUGUUCGCCAAAGAGGGUUGGGACUCUAGUUGGUUGGACUUGCGCUGCAUCGCAGUCUUCCUUUGAGAGACGCGGCCACAGACCAGCUUGACCGACCCUUUGUGCAUUUUAACCAAUCGACACUAUUCUUCUGAUUUUCGACAUUUUACUCAAUUUUGACCCCAGUUUGACCCACAAAGUAAUGGCGGACUCUGAUGGGCCUUACACUCACCUGUUGAGAAAUCCACCCCACAGAAUUAUUUCAGGGCAAAAUGUCUUCAGGCUAAAGUAUGAGCCGUCGUUGCGCUAUAUCUGCAUCAAAUGCAACGACGAUGUUUCAGUUCAUUGAACAGCACAAGGAAUAAUUUAUGCUAAACAAAAUGAUGCCCACCCAGCCCAUCAGAAACACAAGAAUGACAACCCAAGCAGGCUUAUAUUUUGUGUGGAUGAAGGAGAGAUUAAGUGCGUUAAAGAACAAUUUGCGUCCAAUUUUGCUGAUCGAAUUACG